rnacentral:rRNA from 1 species
UACGAAGGGUGCUAGCGUUGUUCGGAAUUACUGGGCGUAAAGCGCGCGUAGGCGGCGAUAAAAGUCAGGGGUGAAAUCCCACAGCUUAACUGUGGAACUGCCUUUGAAACUGUAUUGCUAGAGUGUCGGAGGGGAUAGCGGAAUUGCUAAUGUAGAGGUGAAAUUCGUAGAUAUUAGCAGGAACACCGGUGGCGAAGGCGGCUAUCUGGACGACAACUGACGCUGAGGCGCGAAAGUGCGGGGAUCAAACAGG